GAUGAACGCUGGCGGCGUGCCUAAUACAUGCAAGUCGAGCGAACAGACGAGAGUGCUUGCACUCUCUGACGUUAGCAGCGGACGGGUGAGUAACACGUGGGUAACCUACCUAUAAGACUGGGAUAACUUCGGGAAACCGGAGCUAAUACCGGAUAAUAUUUAGCUUCGCAUGAAGCAAUAGUGAAAGACGGUUCUGCUGUCACUUAUAGAUGGACCCGCGGUGUAUUAGCUAGUUGGUGAGGUAACGGCUCACCAAGGCAACGAUACAUAGCCGACCUGAGAGGGUGAUCGGCCACACUGGGACUGAGACACGGCCCAGACUCCUACGGGAGGCAGCAGUAGGGAAUCUUCCGCAAAGGACGAAAGUCUGACGGAGCAAUGCCGCGUGAGUGAAGAAGGUUUUCGGAUCGUAAAACUCUGUUGUAAGGGAAGAACAAGUACGUUAGUAACUGAACGUACCUUGACGGUACCUUACCAGAAAGCCACGGCUAACUACGUG
rnacentral:rRNA from 1 species